rnacentral:misc_RNA from 1 species
UGUUCGAGCGUCAUUUAAACUCUCAAGCCUUGCUUGGUGUUGGGCGAGGUCCGGUAGGACCCUCCUGUAACUCGUUGGCGGUACCGUCCGGCUUCAAGCGUAGCAAAAUCCUCGCUUUGGAGCUCCGGGCGGCGCCUGCCAGGGAACCUUUGUACCCAUAGUUUGACCUCGGAUCAGGUAGGGAUACCCGCUGAACUUAA